rnacentral:rRNA from 1 species
UACGGAGGGGGCUAGCGUUGUUCGGAAUUACUGGGCGUAAAGCGCGCGUAGGCGGCUUUGCAAGUUAGAGGUGAAAGCCCGGAGCUUAACUCCGGAACUGCCUUUAAAACUGCAUCGCUUGAAUCAUGGAGAGGUUAGUGGAAUUCCGAGUGUAGAGGUGAAAUUCGUAGAUAUUCGGAAGAACACCAGUGGCGAAGGCGACUAACUGGACAUGUAUUGACGCUGAGGUGCGAAAGCGUGGGGAGCAAACAGG